UUUAAGUUACUCUGCUGCCUCUCUUUACCAAAAGGGCUAAAAGGCAUCUUCUUGGUUUUUAAACAGUAUGGAAGAAUCUGUUAAGCUCAGGAGGGAUAGCGCCAUUCUUGGUUUGGUUUUAGACCAUGUAUUGCGCUAUCCAUCCUGAGUUUCAUGGCUUCUUCUUGCUCUCUCUCUCUCUCUCUCUCUCUCUCUCUCUCUCUCUCUCUCUCUUCUUUGCAGCCAAGCCAAGGGAUUGAAACUUGUGGCCUUGUUGUUGCAAUAUCGGGAAUGAAUGAGAGGAUUGAGAUGAGGGCCAACCAUGAGUAGAAUUAGUAGCCAAGGCUCUUUGGUCAAGCAGAUUUUUACACUGUGAAACACUUACAUGAAACGAAGAUAUCACCAUUUUGAUAUUCCUAGCCAGUAUGUCACGAGUGAUAAUUUCGAUUGAUCGGGUAUAUCAAAACAGUGCUAUUCCUGUUUCAUACAAGUUUGGGUAUAGCAAAACAGUGCUAUUCCCGUUCUAUACAAGUUUUUUUUGUAAUUUGAGAGCUUUGGCAGAAGCUUCACUUGUCCAAUCUACCUGUUCAAGUUUGACUUAAUGUACCACAAGGUGGAAGGAAAAGUACUUCUUUUUAUGCAUUGUACUGGAUAUGAAAUCAAUUUUAGUUAUGGACCUACCAA